rnacentral:misc_RNA from 1 species
AACUUUCAACAAUGGAUCUCUUGGUUCCGGCAUCGAUGAAGAACGCAGCGAAAUGCGAUAAGUAAUGUGAAUUGCAGAAUUCCGUGAAUCAUCGAAUCUUUGAACGCACAUUGCGCCCCCUGGCAUUCCGGGGGGCAUGCCUGUCCGAGCGUCAUUUCUGCCCUCCAGCGCGGCUGGGUGUUGGGUGUUGUCCCCCCGGGGACAUGCCCCAAAGGCAGUGGCGGCGCCGCGUCGGGUCCUCGAGCGUAUGGGGCUCUGUCACUUGCUCGGGACGGACCUGCGGGCGUCGGUCUUCCCCAUGCAGUCUCCCGGAAGGGAGGGUGUCUUCUACGGUUGACCUCGGAUCAGGUAGGGAUACCCGCUGAACUUAAGCAUAUCAAUAAGCGGAGGAAAAGAAACCAACAGGGAUUGCCUCAGUAACGGCGAGUGAAGCGGCAAGAGCUCAAAUUUGAAAUCUGGCCCCUCCGGGGUCCGAGUUGUAAUUUGCAGAGGAUGCUUCGGGUGCGGCCCCUGUCUAAGUGCCCUGGAACGGGCCGUCAGAGAGGGUGAGAAUCCCGUCUUGGGCAGGGUGCCCGUGCCCGUGUGAAGCUCCUUCGACGAGUCGAGUUGUUUGGGAAUGCAGCUCUAAGCGGGUGGUAAAUUUCAUCUAAAGCUAAAUACUGGCCGGAGACCGAUAGCGCACAAGUAGAGUGAUCGAAAGAUGAAAAGCACUUUGAAAAGAGAGUUAAACAGCACGUGAAAUUGUUGAAAGGGAA